rnacentral:misc_RNA from 1 species
GAUGAAGAACGCAGCGAAAUGCGAUACGUAAUGUGAAUUGCAGAAUUCAGUGAAUCAUCGAGUCUUUGAACGCACAUUGCGCCCCCUGGUAUUCCGGGGGGCAUGCCUGUCCGAGCGUCAUUGCUGCCCUCAAGCACGGCUUGUGUGUUGGGCCUCCGUCCUCCUCCCGGGGGACGGGCCCGAAAGGCAGCGGCGGCACCGCGUCCGGUCCUCGAGCGUAUGGGGCUUCUUCACCCGCUCUUGUAGGCCCGGCCGGCGCUUGCCGACACAUCAAUCUUUUUUCCAGGUUGACCUCGGAUCAGGUAGGGAUACCCGCUGAACUUAAGCAUAUCAAUAAGCGGAGGA